rnacentral:RNase_P_RNA from 1 species
CAGGCUGGUCGGGCAGUCGCGGUCCUGCGUUGUCGGGAUCGAGGAAAGUCCGCACUCCAUAGAGCACGACGUCGGAGAGUACCCCGGGGUGGGGAAACCGCCGAGAGGCGCGAACCUACCGGAUAAAAGGGCCACAGAAACAAACAGCCCACGCAAGUGUGGUGAUGGUGAAAAGGUGGUGUAAGAGACCACCGGCGCCCGCAGUAAUGCGGGUGGCCAGGUAACCCCCGUCGGGAGCAAGGCCAAGCAGGGGCGAUUUCGUCCGUGGACGAUGGGAGACUGCUCGUCUCCAUACGUGUCCUUCCCUCUUGUGGGAGGGACCAGCCCCGGGUAGGCUGCAUCGAGCGGCGCGGAGACGCGCCGCCCAGAGAGAUGACUGCCCAGGCGGAGAAAUCCGCUGGACAGAAUGCGGCUUAUAGACCAGCCUGAGGA